AACAAACAGAAAAAUCCGAUGCAGGUACAGCAAUCUGCCACUGGUAGAAACACCUUCACAAAAGCCCUUUGGUUCUUUUGUCCUCCCCUUUUCUACCUGAUGGGUCAGGCGGGACUUUUUGGCUUCUAUCCAGUUAGGUGACCCAGAGUUUUUACUGAAGCCUCUGGGGUCCUUUGAGGUGGCUUGUCACCUGAUCGUUGGGAGAAACUUCUGGGCUUCAUUCCUUUUUUGGGGGAUAAAGGUUAGCUUUGCCACUCUGUAAUUAGGGGGCACUCUCCUACAUUCCUACAUCCAAGGAUGUUUCACAGGGCCUGAAAAGAGUCUGGAGUGUGACCAGGAGCCAGCCCAGAGCUCCCCAGGCUGCUGUGCAGCUUUGGCUUUAUCCAUUCACAUCCGACUCCCACAAACUUACCCGACCCCAUUGCAGUGCCCAGUUCCCUGAGGCAGAAGGGGACUCCAGCACACCAUGGAAAUGGGUCUGAUCUCUGCUCCCUUCUAGAUGAGGUGUCUGGGAAGGCUUCUCCAUUAGCUUGGCUGCAUAAAGUGUUGGUCCUAUCUGAGCCACCGUCAGGUAUGUUCUCAGUGUGCCACCAAGGAAUAAUUGUUGUGAACCUGGCAGGAAUCAGGUGACAGAAGCUUCUGUGGCUCUUGUGUUCCAGGUGUGUCUGCAGGGAGGACUUGUCCAGCUGCUUUGCUGAAUCCUACACAAAAGCCCAGCUCCCAUGGCAGGGGUCCUCCGAGGGGAAAGAACAAAGCUACUGGACACCAGAAACCCCAUGAUCCAUCCGAAAACAUGAGGCAAAUGCUGAAAGAAUUGCUGCAGGGAGGAGGACAAGAAGUGGAUGGAGAGGCUGGGCAGAAGGCGGCGUUUACCGGAGGAAGCAGUGGUUCUGUGCCAGACUCUGCUGUAGGACUGGAGGCGAUGCCAGGCACAGUCACAGGAGGUUGGGAUCAAGACAUGGAUUAUCUGGGAAAGCUGCUGGAUUAUGGCUUGAGACUCAUAGGAAAUCCUGGAGGCAAGUGCUCAAUGUACCUUUCCUGAGAGAAUACAC